UCUCCGUAGGUGAACCUGCGGAGGGAUCAUUCACAUGAUUUACUUUAUAAACAAACUGUGAACUUUAUUAUCAUACUAUUCUUGUAGGGAUUAUUUUAUAAUCUUUUACAACGUCAUUCGAUGAACAUUAGAUAGUUGGCUUGUUUUUUUUUAAUAAAAAACUUUCUCAGCUGAUUUGUUUGUUAGACUAAACAUCUAUUCAAUCAAUCAACCAAAAACAUAGAAACAACUCUAUGCCCUGGAUAUCUUGGUUCUC
rnacentral:misc_RNA from 1 species